AAUAUUAAAAAAAAAAAAGAAAAAAAAAAAAAAAAAAAAAAAAAUAAAAAACAAAGAAAAAAAUAUAAAAAAAAAAGAAGGAAAAGACAGCACCAAAAAAGAAAAAAAAGACAAUACCUCUAAAACAGACAAAGAGAAUAAAACCCCAGUAAAAAUAACCGAUGUAAAAAUUAAUAAAAAUGCCACGCAAGAGAAGAACAAAAAGAAGAAGAAAUCAAAACAAAUGUAAAUGGAAAUGGUAAAGAUAUGGAUACAGCUGUAACAGAUGCUACAUCUACUACAGCUACAACGACUGAUAUAAUAAGAGACAAUCGUAUAGACGAAUUUUUAAGAUUUGAUUCUCCUAUAAUUCGAUGUAGAAGUAGUAAUGAAUAUAUGUCGCCUAGAAAAAGGAAAUCAGAAAAUUUAUUGUAUAGUUAUAGAAGUAAAGACUUAGGAAAACAAAAACAAAAAAAAAAAAAAAAAUUAACAGUAGGAGAAACAGUAAAAUCGAUACAUGUAUAUAUAUAUAUAUGUUUAUACGAAAUAAUGCGACCAAGCGGUAGGCAUAAGUAACGAUUAAAAUAGACCCGAAAAAAAAAUAAUAACUAAUAAUAUAUACAUACUUACAUACAAAAAAAAAAUGAAUGUGUUAUGUCAAAAAACAAAAAGACAAAUAGGAGUAGUACCUUAAAGCAACAAGCAACUGUUUUAUACAACACUAGCUUUAAUUAUAUAUAUAUAUACAUAUAUGUAAGUGCAUUCUUUUUUGAAUUUUUAUAUUUUAAUCAUUUUUUUUUUUACUUAUGUGUUCUUAUCC
rnacentral:lncRNA from 1 species